rnacentral:rRNA from 1 species
UCAGGAUGAACGCUAGCGGCAGGCUUAACACAUGCAAGUCGAGGGGCGAGUCGCGGGUAGCAAGUACCCGUGGCGGCGACCGGCGAAAGGGUGCGUAACGCGUGAGCGACAUGCCCGUCGACAGGGGGAUAACCCGGCGGAAACGCCGCCUAAUACCCCAUAUGAGGCCAGGCCACAUGGCCGGGUCUUGAAAGUCAAGGCGGUGACGGAUUGGCUCGCGUCCGAUUAGCCAGUUGGCGGGGCAACGGCCCACCAAGGCGACGAUCGGUAGGGGUUCUGAGAGGAAGGCCCCCCACAAUGGAACUGAGACACGGUCCAUACUCCUACGGGAGGCAGCAGUGAGGAAUAUUGGUCAAUGGGCGGAAGCCUGAACCAGCCAUGCCGCGUGCAGGAAUGAGGCCCUACGGGUCGUGAACUGCUUUUCGCGCGGAGCAAUAAGGGGGGUUCGCCCCUCCGAUGAGAGUACGCGCGGAAUAAGCAUCGGCUAACUACGUGCC